GAUGAGGUGACCGAGUGGCUAAGGUGAUGGACUGUUAAUCCAUUGUCCUCUGCACGUGUGGGUUCAAAUCCCAUCCUUGUCG